UGCGCAGGCGGGGAUGUAAGUCAGUGGUGAAAUACUGCCGCUCAACGGUAGAACUGCCAUUGAUACUGCAUCUCUUGAGUAUGGUUGAGGUAGGCGGAAUGUGUUGUGUAGCGGUGAAAUGCAUAGAUAUGACACAGAACGCCAAUUGCGAAGGCAGCUUACUAAGCCAUUACUGACGCUGAGGCACGAAAGCGUGGGGAGCGAACAGGAUUAGAUACCCUGGUAGUUC
rnacentral:rRNA from 1 species